rnacentral:rRNA from 1 species
AUGAAGCUCGAUAGUGAUCCUUUUCCUAUCAAUGUGGUUGAGUUUGAGAAUAAGAAAAUUCUUAUUCGAUCGGAUCAGACCGAAUCCGCAAGAGAGAAAAAUGUUGUUGAUGAUAAUGUUCCUCCAAGGAUGAUCAAACCAAAAAAUCCAGAAGUAGGAGUGUGGAAAGUCAAUGGAAGAAGGAGACAAGCUUCGAGACCAAAGCCGACAGUUAACAUGUUGUUGGAGAAAUACACUUCACUUAAGGCCACCAAUGUGUUUAACCGGCUUGGAGGUAAUAAGCGUCCUAGAUCUCCUUCUGGACCUGCCGGUCAUGAGCAAUGGCAGAAAAAUUCAUAUGACCAGCAGCCAUAUUUCGCAAUAGAGCCAACAUAUUGGGGUUGUGCACCUCCUAUGUAUCCGCAAAUUCCUCCAUGGGGUUCUAAUCCUUGGGCGCCAUAUCCUAUAGGGCCAGCAGGAUAUUUUCAACCAGGAUGGAUCCCGCCUAGGCCUAUGUUCAGACCAAACAUGCACGAGAAAAGGGCUCGAUUUAAUCAUGAAGCAAGAUCACGUGAUGUUGUUAUGGUUCGAGGUAAAGAUGGUUCACACAAAGGGGCUGAAGAUAGCUCAUCCAGCAAAAGAUUUGCGUAG